rnacentral:rRNA from 1 species
UACAGAGGUCUCAACCGUUGUUCGGAUUCAUUGGGCGUAAAGGGUGCGUAGGCGGUCGGGUAAGUCGGAUGUGAAAUCCCAGGGCUCAACCCUGGAACUGCAUUCGAUACUGCCUGGCUAGGGUACUGGAGAGGAUGGUGGAAUUCCCGGUGUAGCGGUGAAAUGCGUAGAGAUCGGGAGGAACACCAGUGGCGAAGGCGGCCAUCUGGCUCAACAUUGACGCUGAGGCACGAAAGCGUGGGGAGCAAACAGG